rnacentral:tRNA from 1 species
ACUUGGUUGACUCAGUUGGAAGAGCAUAAGACUUUUAAUCUUGGGGCUAUGAGUUUGAGCCCCACAUUGGGUG